rnacentral:rRNA from 1 species
UACGAAGGGGGCUAGCGUUGUUCGGAAUUACUGGGCGUAAAGCGCACGUAGGCGGAUAUUUAAGUGAGGGGUGAAAUCCCAGGGCUCAACCCUGGAACUGCCUCUCAUACUGGGUACCUCGAGUUCGAGAGAGGUGAGUGGAAUUGCGAGUGUAGAGGUGAAAUUCGUAGAUAUUCGCAGGAACACCAGUGGCGAAGGCGGCUCACUGGCUCGAUACUGACGCUGAGGUGCGAAAGCGUGGGGAGCAAACAGG